AAAUUUACCAAAGUGCAUGUUGCUCUGAUAGGGGCUGUUUCCAAACUGAUGUUUCAUCCUACUUAGUGCGUCAAAGUAGAUCCUUUUCAUACAUGUUAUAACAAGUUAGUGUAAGUUGAUUUUAGUGCCAAGAAAAUGUAAGUUCCGUGCUUACUUUUUGUUAUGUUAUGUUUUGUUUUUGAGACAAGGUCUCUCUCUGUCACCCAGGCUGGAGGGCAGUGGCGUGAUCACAGUUUACUGCAGCCUCAACCUCCUGGGCUUAAGCAAUCCUCCCACUUCAGCCUCCCAAGCAACUGGGGCUACAGGUGCGCACAACCAUGCUCAGCUAAUUUUCGUAUUUUUAGUUCAGAUGGGGUUUGGCCAUGUUACCUAGGCUGGUCUUGAACUCCUGGGCUCAAGCAAUCCUCCAGCCUCAGCUUCCCAAAGUGGGCCACCAUACCUGGCCCUGUCAUAGUUUUUUUUUUUUUUUUUUUUUUUUUUGUAUAUAUAACAUGCAUUUUCUGUGAACUUUUUUGAAGCCCUCCAGUAGAAGGAACAGUGGAGGCAAAGUAUGACAAGUGCAGAGCUAGCAUAAUCCUGAAUAGAAAAAGAUUGAAAACCUUUUCUCUAAUAUCAGGAACCAGACAAGAAUGCUACUUUUACCACUUUUUAUUUAGCAUAGUAUAGGAAGUCCCAGCCAGAGCAAUUAGGCAAGAAAAAGAAAUAAAAGAGGUGGUUUGUUGUUGUUGUUGUUUUUUCCCCCAAGAUGGUGAAUUAGAAGUUUCUAGCAUGCCUCAGCCACUUGGUAAUAACAAGAUAGUGAAUAAAGAUAAACUCUGUGAGCUUUAAUUCAAGAAGGAAUGUGGGACUCCACCAGAAUUAUGAAGAACACCCCAGAUCCUGGAGAGAAGAAUGUGGGUGAACAGCCCUUGUUGUGGUGUCCAGCUGAGAAAAGUGAGUAAAGCUUUAGGACAUGAGAGAGGUAGAGAGCUUCCCUCUGUGACUCACUACUCUACUGGGACCAAGCAACGCAGGCUGAGGGAGAGCACUUUAUUUCUCCCAAGCCCUGGAGAUAACUUGGGGAGAAGCUUAGACACAGAGUGAGACACCAAGAAAAGCUACAGUAUUUUUCUCAGACCCAGGACAAAGAGCAGGAUGCCAUUUUUAACAUGGGCGCUUAUAAAGUCAGCCAUUCUUUGGUGACUCAGCAGUAUAGCCACACAGGCAUUUUCAUUUCUGUCCAGAGAUUUAAGAGCCUGCUCUGGAGUGGGUUAGAGGCCUCUACAGCCAGAACUGUGAAAAGUGCCUUAGCAGUAGGCCCUGGAGUUGUGUUCUUCCCCAUUGCAGGCCUGGCUUCGCAGGAGAGCUGUCUCAUCUGCAGUUUUUCUUGGGUGAUGAGAUUUGCAGCCAGGGCCAGCUUGGUGACCUGGUGCUGGUCAGCAUUUGUCAUUCCUUGGUGUCCCAGUCUACUGCCCUGAGAUCAUGGUGCAGUGAGGUCCUCGCCACUCCAUCCCCAGGCAGAAAUCUAGGCAUUCAGAGCCCCUGUGUUGUGGUCAAUACUGAGUGUCAAUUUGAUUGGAUCAGAGGAUAGAAAGUAUUGAUCCUGGGUGUGUCUGUGAGGGUGUUGCCAAAGGAGAUUAACAUUUGAGUCAGUGGGCUGGGAAAUGUAAGAAAGGCAGACCCACCCUUAAUGUGGGUGGGCACCUUCUAACCAGCUGCCAGCAUGGCCAGGGUAAAGCAGCCAGAGAAAAGUGAAGAGGUUAGCCUGGCCUAGCCUCCCAGCCUACAUCUUUCUCCUGUGCUGGACCCUUCCAGUCCUCAAACAAUGGACUCCAGGUUCUUCAGUUUUGGGACUCCGACUGGCUUUUUCUUGCUCCUCAGCUUGCAGAUGGCCUAUUGUGGGACCUUGUGAUAAUGUAAUUAAUACUUAAUAAACUCCUCAUUAUAAAUAUAAAGAACAGGUUAUUAAUUAUAUAGUCAAUAUAUAUAGUAUAG
rnacentral:lncRNA from 1 species